rnacentral:rRNA from 1 species
UACGAAGGGGGCUAGCGUUGCUCGGAAUCACUGGGCGUAAAGCGCACGUAGGCGGAUCGCUAAGUCAGGGGUGAAAUCCUGGAGCUCAACCUCCAGAACUGCCUUUGAUACUGAGAAGCUUGAGUCCGGGAGAGGUGAGUGGAACUGCGAGUGUAGAGGUGAAAUUCGUAGAUAUUCGCAAGAACACCGGUGGCGAAGGCGGCCCACUGGUCCGGUAC